AGAGAGAGAGAGAGAGAAUUUUUUUCUUAAUAUUUAUUUUUUUUAGUUCUCGGCAGACACAACGUCUUUGUUUGUAUGUGGUGCUGAGGAUUGAACCCAGGCCGUAUGCAUGCCAGGCGAGCGCGCUACCGCUUGAGCCACAUCCCCAGCCCUAUACUUUCUUUUAAGAGGCUUAUAGUAUCAGCUUUUAACUUUAGUCUGAUCCAUCUGUUUUUAAAUAUUUUUUUUUUUAGUUCUUGAUGGACCUUUAUUUUAUUUGUUUGUAUGCACUGCUCACACACACAGGCAAGUGCUGAGUCACAACCCCAGCCCUGAUCCAUCCAUUUUGAGUUAAUUUCGUGUAUGAUGUGAGGCAGGGUCCCAGCUCAUUUUUCUGCACAUGGAUCUCCCGUUGUCUCGGCACCAUUUGUUGGAAGAUGAUUCUCUCUCCAUUAAGUUGUCUUAGUACCUACUGUUUUCUCUGGUCUGGAGAAAUGACUCCCCUCAGAGAGACUGUAGCAGCCUGGCUAGCAUUUCCAGUGAGCAAGUAGGUGGCCCAUUGGGACAGAUGGCUUUCCCAGAGUCUCCCAAACCCCAGCAGUGCCCAGGAUAGGCGCUGGAGACACCAUCGGUUCCUGACACACUCGCUCAGCACCUCCUGUGCACCAGACCUGGGGACACGGUGGGAACCGAGGCGAGCUGGCCUGCGCUCUGGAUCUCACAUUCCACAGAAGGAGGAGAAAAGGAAGAUCACUGUGAUGUCUAUAACUGAUGACAGCGGCUGUGAAGAAGAAAAGAAGCAGGAUGCCUGCAUGCCCAUUUCACAGAGCGGUGAAGUGAUUUCCUAAAGCCACACAGGCAGGAAAACAGCAACCCUAAGACUUGAGCCAAGACUUGUCUGAAGUGCAGGCUGGUGUCCCAGCAACAGC
rnacentral:lncRNA from 1 species